rnacentral:rRNA from 1 species
CGAACGGGUGAGGAACGCGUGGACAACCUACCCCGGCGUGGGGGAUACGCGCCAGAAAUGGCGGCUAAUACCGCGUACGGUUCCCGGACGGCAGGUUUGGGAAAGAAAGCAGUGAUGCGCGCUGGGAGGGGUCUGCGGCCGAUUAGCUAGUUGGCGGGGUAGUGGCCCACCAAGGCGAUGAUCGGUAGCUGGUCUGAGAGGAUGAUCAGCCACACGGGGACUGAGGCACGGCCCCG